GUUAGCAACAAAAUAUGGUAUAAAGAACAAUGGCUAGAGAUAGCAUUAAAUGUGUGUCAUAAAGAACACUAGAGUUAGUGUAAAGACAUGAUGAAAGUAAAGAAUGCAAAGAACACUAGAGUUAGUGUAGUGACAUGGUCAAAGUAAAGAAUGCAAAGAACAUGAGAUUGACACAAUGACAUUCUACCUUAGAGCUAAGGGUCAUUUGUGCAUAAAUUCCUUACAGUUAAGAAAUAGAUUGAACUGAACAUCCUUAGAGUUAAGGAUUGAUCAUACUCGCUAUAAGUCCUUGCUUGAGGGUGGUCGCACCCCCUCGGGCGAUGCGCUCC
rnacentral:lncRNA from 1 species